UACGUAGGGUGCAAGCGUUGUCCGGAAUUAUUGGGCGUAAAGAGCUCGUAGGCGGUUUGUCGCGUCUGGUGUGAAAAUCCAGGGCUUAACCCUGGACCUGCAUCGGGUACGGGCAGACUAGAGUCCGGUAGGGGAGUGUGGAAUUCCCGGUGUAGCGGUGAAAUGCGCAGAUAUCGGGAGGAACACCAGUGGCGAAGGCGGCACUCUGGGCCGGUACUGACGCUGAGGAGCGAAAGCGUGGGGAGCGAACAGG
rnacentral:rRNA from 1 species